UGUUGAUGCAGGUGAACAGACAGCGCAAGAACGGCCACAAAACUCGCCUCAUGAUUGUUGUGUAGAGAAGUACUUCCAGCGGCAUGUACUACGACUGCUGAACACGCUUCGCUUCAUGCUGGAACAACAAGCGGACACCCUGAACAAGUUGUGCGAUAUACUUCCUACUUCUUCAGUCACCGAAUGCGCAGAGCUCUUAGGCCAUCCGCUAAGCAGUCUUGAAGAACUACAAGAGUUUGACAACAAGCUCGAUGCUGGAAAAUUUAGGAUCCUGGUAAGUUAUGUUUUUUUUUCAGUUCAUCAAACUCAUAAUGAAUAUUCAAGGUGUUGAAACACUGCUGUUUUGCAAUAUCAAGAAUGUCAUGGGUUUUUCGUACAUUGCUUACUUGCUUUA
rnacentral:lncRNA from 1 species